rfam:Parcubacteria bacterium GW2011_GWA2_47_64 TY03_C0018, whole genome shotgun sequence.
GGGCCGUUAGCUCAGCUGGUAGAGCGUUCGCAUGGCAUGCGAGAGGUCAGCGGUUCGAGCCCGCUACGGUCCA